rnacentral:rRNA from 1 species
AGCAGCCGCGGUAAUUCCGGCUCCAAUAGCGUAUAUUAAAGUUGCUGCAGUUAAAAAGCUCGUAGUUGAAUUUCGGGACUAAUAUGUCGGUCGUGCCUCGGUACGUACUGGCUUAUUGGUUUCUCCUUUCUGAAGAACCAUGAUGUCAUUUAUUUGGUGUCGUGGGGAAUCAGGACUGUUACUUUGAAAAAUUAGAGUGUUUAAAGCAGGCUCACGCUUGAAUACAUUAGCAUGGAAUAAUGAAAUAGGACGUUUGAUUCUAUUUUGUUGGUUUCUAGGAUCGACGUAAUGAUUAAUAGGGAUAGUUGGGGGCAUUAGUAUUCAAUUGUCAGAGGUGAAAUUCUUGGAUUUAUUGAAGACUAACUACUGCGAAAGCAUUUGCCAAGGAUGUUUUCAUUAAUCAAGACGAAAGUUAGGGGAUCGAAGACGAUCAGAUACCGUCGUAGUCUUAACCAUAAACUAUGCCGACUAGGGAUCGGAUGAUGUUAAUUUUUUAAUGACCCAUUCGGCGCCUUACGGG